GCUUAACGCUGCUGCCUAAUCCACAGCAACCGAACUACAUCUUUCCGACUUAUACUGACCCCACGAAAAAACUUUCAUGCUGAAGGAGACCAGCACGAUGCCUCUUUGCUGGUUGCCGUAAUCGAAUCAACUUGGGGAGAUCGAAUCUCCUUUAAGUCGAAACUGGUGCAAACUAUUGCCAUCAAUCAUCAACAUGAUAUCGAAUAUCACUACCUAAAUUUUUUUCGCAUAUCGAGACUAUCAGACUCUGUUUCUCUCGCGAUACUGACUGUAGUUGGAAAUGUUUAUUUUAUUGUCUCCAGCUUUAGAAACUGACUAUUUAGUGCUACCACAAAUAUUUUUAUGAUAUAGGGGUACAGCAAAUGAAUAUAAACGGGGGAGUUCACAUCACCUUGUAAUCGAAAAUGGUGCAAACAUUGCCAAUAGCAUGUAGAUGAAUAAUAGAUUUACAUAUUGAUUGAAAGCUUAUCACCACUCCAUGAA